rnacentral:rRNA from 1 species
CCGCGAAAACUUUACAAUGCUGGCAACAGCGAUAAGGGAACCUCGAGUGCCAGGUUACAAAUCUGGCUGUCGAGAUGCCUAAAAAGCAUUUCAUAGCAAGGGCCGGGCAAGACCGGUGCCAGCCGCCGCGGUAACACCGGCGGCUCGAGUGGUAACCGUUAUUAUUGGGUCUAAAGGGUCUGUAGCCGGCCGGAUAAGUCUCUUGAGAAAUCUGGCAGCUUAACUGUCAGGCUUUCAGGAGAUACUGUCUGGCUCGAGGCCGGGAGAGGUGAGAGGUACUUCAGGGGUAGGGGUGAAAUCUUGUAAUCCUUGAAGGACCACCAGUGGCGAAGGCGCCUCACCAGAACGGACCUGACGGCAAGGGACGAAAGCUAGGGGCACGAACCGG